rnacentral:rRNA from 1 species
AACGAACGCUGGCGGCAGGCUUAACACAUGCAAGUCGAACGCCCCGCAAGGGGCGUGGCCGCCGGGUGAGUAACGCGUGGGAACAUACCCUUUUCUACGGAAUAGCUCUGGGAAACUGGGAUUAAUACCGGAUACGCCCUACGGGGGAAAGAUUUAUCGGGGAAGGAUUGGCCCGCGUUGGAUUAGCUAGUUGGUGGGGUAAAGGCCUACCAAGGCGACGAUCCAUAGCUGGUCUGAGAGGAUGAUCAGCCACAUUGGGACUGAGACACGGCCCAAACUCCUACGGGAGGCAGCAGUGGGGAAUAUUGGACAAUGGGCGCAAGACUGAUCCAGCCAUGCCGCGUGAGUGAUGAAGGACUUAGGGUUGUAAAGCUCUUUCAACGAUGAAGAUAAUGACGGUAGUCGGAGAAGAAGCCCCGGCUAACUUCGUG